rnacentral:rRNA from 1 species
UACAGAGGGUGCAAGCGUUGUUCGGAAUUAUUGGGCGUAAAGCGCGUGUAGGCGGCUUUGCAAGUCGGGUGUGAAAGCCCUCGGCUCAACCGAGGAAGUGCGCCCGAAACUGCAGAGCUUGAGUACCGGAGAGGAUGGCGGAAUUCCCCAAGUAGAGGUGAAAUUCGUAGAUAUGGGGAGGAACACCGGUGGUGAAGGCGGCCAUCUGGACGGAUACUGACGCUGAGACGCGAAAGCGUGGGGAGCAAACAGG